rnacentral:lncRNA from 1 species
AAUGUCAACUUAUUUCAUGGGGGCGUUGCUGACAAGCAAGCUGGGAAAUACAGUGGAGGUAUGAAGAGGAGGCUAAGUGUUGCAAUUUCACUGAUCGGAGAUCCUAAGGUAUGUUAAUUCUACCAUUCAUCCUCAUGGGAAGACAUUCGGAGUUAUGUGUAUUCAUAUUCUUGUGUUUAUGAAAUCUUCCAGGUUGUCUACAUGGAUGAGCCCAGUACUGGACUGGAUCCAGCUUCGCGACAUAACUUAUGGAAUGUUGUCAAGCGUGCAAAGCAAGAUAGAGCAAUUAUUCUCACAAGUAAUUUAACAUUACUUCUCUUGUUUCUUUGUUUCCCACUUUGACCUGAAUAAACUUUGUGCAGUUAGGACAGCACCAACCAGCUAUCCUUAUGGGAAGACAUUCGGAGUUAUACGUAUCGAAAUAUUCCAGGUUGUCUACAUGGAUGAGCCCAGUACUGGACUUGAUCCAGCUUCGCGACAUAACUUAUGGAAUGUUGUCAAACGUGCA